rnacentral:rRNA from 1 species
AAGCCCCAGUAAACGGCGGCCGUAACUAUAACGGUCCUAAGGUAGCGAAAUUCCUUGUCGGGUAAGUUCCGACCCGCACGAAAGGCGUAACGAUUUGGCACUGUCUCAACAACAGACUCGGUGAAAUUGUAAUUCCGGUGAAGAUGCCGGAUACCUGCGACAGGACGGAAAGACCCCAUGGAGCUUUACUGUAGCUUGACAUUGGGUCUUGGUACUACAUGUACAGGAUAGGUGGGAGGCUUUGAAACCAGGACGCCAGUUUUGGCGGAGCCAUCCUUGGGAUACCACCCUUGUAGUACUGGGACUCUAACCAUAGGCCAUG